rnacentral:rRNA from 1 species
GACGUAGGUGGCGAGCGUUAUCCGGAUUUACUGGGCGUAAAGCGCGUGCAGGUGGUUUGGUAAGUCGGGCGUGAAAUCUCCUGGCUCAACUGGGAGAGGCCGUCCGAUACUACCGAACUUGAGGGCAGUAGAGGGAGGUGGAAUUCCGGGUGUAGUGGUGAAAUGCGUAGAUAUCCGGAGGAACACCGGUGGCGAAAGCGGCCUCCUGGGCUGCCCCUGACACUCAGACGCGAAAGCUAGGGGAGCGAACGGG